UGGCAAGGGCUGGAGCAUGGGUAUCUGA
rnacentral:piRNA from 1 species